GGUAAAUAGUGUUAUUCCACUUGCCACUGUUAUUAUUAUCAUUAUAUUGUACUGUGGUGGUUUGCUCUUGGGCGUGUCCGCCUUGGUGCUGGCGUAUUUACGUCAUCAGCUGCGUCUGAUGUUUGCCAGUAUUGAGACGGAUACGGUCGAGUGUGUGAAUGACCCGGCUGCAGGCUAACCGCUCCUGAUCAGCACUCUUGUAUUUUGUACAGAAUAAAUGGUCAAUGCAGAAGGGGUCAAGUCUCUGUCUCAGUACCUUCAACAAACAAAAAAAACACAACGCAGAGUAAGACUACAAGAAAAGACUAACCCUGUCAGAACCAGGUCUGACACGGUUACACUGGUGCCGUGACCCGUUCGGCUUCUUCCUUCGUCGGGACGGGGCCCGUCUAUCACCUGGUACGGUUGCUGUGCAGCGAACCUGUUCGCGCCGAAAGGGAGGUGCAGCGGCUGGAUCAGAGACAACUCGGCGCGCAUGAUCACGUGGUUUCUUCAGGACACUUCGGCUCAUCGUCCUCUCUCGCCAUUGGCUGUGAUGACACCUCGGAUCAUCGUUCUCUCUCGCCAUUGGCUGUGGUAACAGACUGCAACACGUGGGGUCCGUGGUGUGCUGCAGCUGCCAUUCUGUGUGUGGCUGUGGAAGUCGGGUCUGUAAAACCAGCGGGCCCUGGAUAUAUAUAUAUAUAUUUUUUUCCUCUUUCUGUGGAGGCGUGUCCUUAUAGUGAUUGUCUGGUUUAGCAGACUGGGUUAUUAAAGAGUUUUUUUUAUUUAUUAUUUUUUUGUUUUUUUUAUGAGCAAAGAGUUUGUCUGA